rnacentral:rRNA from 1 species
UACGUAGGGUGCGAGCGUUAAUCGGAAUUACUGGGCGUAAAGGGUGCGCAGGCGGUUAUAUAAGACAGAUGUGAAAUCCCCGGGCUCAACCUGGGAACUGCGUUUGUGACUGUAUGACUAGAGUACGGUAGAGAGGGGUGGAAUUCCUGGUGUAGCAGUGAAAUGCGUAGAUAUCAGGAGGAACACCCAUGGCGAAGGCAGCAAACUGGUCAUCAACUGACGCUGAGGCGCGAAAGCGUGGGUAGCAAACAGG